rnacentral:rRNA from 1 species
GACGAACGCUGGCGGCGUGCUUAACACAUGCAAGUCGAACGGAAAGGCACUGCUUUUGUGGGGUGCUCGAGUGGCGAACGGGUGAGUAACACGUGAGUAACCUGCCCUUGACUUUGGGAUAACUUCAGGAAACUGGGGCUAAUACCGGAUAGGAGCUCCUGCUGCAUGGUGGGGGUUGGAAAGUUUCGGCGGUUGGGGAUGGACUGGCGGCUUAUCAGCUUGUUGGUGGGGUAGUGGCCUACCAAGGCUUUGACGGGUAGCCGGCCUGAGAGGGUGACCGGCCACAUUGGGACUGAGAUACGGCCCAGACUCCUACGGGAGGCAGCAGUGGGGAAUAUUGCACAAUGGGCGGAAGCCUGAUGCAGCAACGCCGCGUGCGGGAUGACGGCCUUCGGGUUGUAAACCGCUUUCGCCUGUGACGAAGCGUGAGUGACGGUAAUGGGUAAAGAAGCACCGGCUAACUACGUG